UGGGGAAUAUUGCACAAUGGGCGCAAGCCUGAUGCAGCCAUGCCGCGUGUGUGAAGAAGGCCUUCGGGUUGUAAAGCACUUUCAGCGGGGAGGAAGGCGUUAAGGUUAAUAACCUUGGCGAUUGACGUUACCCGCAGAGGAAGCACCGGCUAACUCCGUGCCAGCAGCCGCGGUAAUACGGAGGGUGCAAGCGUUAAUCGGAAUUACUGGGCGUAAAGCGCACGCAGGCGGUCUGUCAAGUCGGAUGUGAAAUCCCCGGGCUCAACCUGGGAACUGCAUUCGAAACUGGCAGGCUAGAGUCUUGUAGAGGGGGGUAGAAUUCCAGGUGUAGCGGUGAAAUGCGUAGAGAUCUGGAGGAAUACCGGUGGCGAAGGCGGCCCCCUGGACAAAGACUGACGCUCAGGUGCGAAAGCGUGGGGAGCAAACAGG
rnacentral:rRNA from 1 species